rnacentral:misc_RNA from 1 species
GAAAUGCGAUAAGUAAUGUGAAUUGCAGAAUUCCGUGAAUCAUCGAAUCUUUGAACGCACAUUGCGCCCUCUGGUAUUCCGGGGGGCAUGCCUGUCCGAGCGUCAUUGCAAACCCUCAAGCUCGGCUUGUGUGAUGGGUCCCGCGUCCGCCUCCCGGGGCGGACGGGCCCGAAAUGCAGUGGCGGCGUCGCGGUAAUCCGAUCAGCCAGAGCGUAUGGGGACUUUCCGUCACACGCCCGCGGCGCGGACCGACGUCUGCCAAUCGAUUUUUAUCAAAUUUUUUUCUCGGUUGACCUCGGAUCAGGUAGGGAUACCCGCUGAACUUAAGC